rnacentral:sRNA from 1 species
UAGAUUAAGGGGGCUAGAUUGAUUAC